GCUUUAUUUAAAAUCCCAAAAAAGUUUGGAACGAUACAGAGAAGGUUAGCAUGGCCCCUGCGCAAGGAUGAUACGCAAAUUCGUGAAGCAUUCCAUAGUUAA